UACGAAGGGGGCUAGCGUUGUUCGGAAUCACUGGGCGUAAAGGGCGCGUAGGCGGCUUUGUAAGUCGGGGGUGAAAGCCUGUGGCUCAACCACAGAAUUGCCUUCGAUAUUGCAUGGCUUGAGACCGGAAGAGGUUAGUGGAACUGCGAGUGUAGAGGUGAAAUUCGUAGAUAUUCGCAAGAACACCAGUGGCGAAGGCGGCUGACUGGUCCGGUUCUGACGCUGAGGCGCGAAAGCGUGGGGAGCAAACAGG
rnacentral:rRNA from 1 species